rnacentral:rRNA from 1 species
GUAGGUGGCAAGCGUUGUCCGGAAUUAUUGGGCGUAAAGCGCGCGCAGGCGGUCCUUUAAGUCUGAUGUGAAAGCCCGCGGCUCAACCGUGGAGGGUCAUUGGAAACUGGGGGACUUGAGUACAGAAGAGGAAAGCGGAAUUCCAAGUGUAGCGGUGAAAUGCGUAGAGAUUUGGAGGAACACCAGUGGCGAAGGCGGCUUUCUGGUCUGUAACUGACGCUGAGGCGCGAAAGCGUGGGGAGCAAACAGGAUUAGAUACCCUGGUAGUCCACGCCGUAAACGAUGAGUGCUAAGUGUUAGGGGGUUUCCGCCCCCUUAGUGCUGCAGCUAACGCAUUAAGCACUCCGCCUGGGGAGUACGGCCGCAAGGCUG